GCAGUGCUGUUCAUCCAUGAGAGCAGUGAUUUUAAUAAGGAAGGGAACUGAGAGAUUCCACCCGUCGCACGCUGAAUUCCUAUUUUACAACAUUAUAUAAUUCUAAUCCCUGUUUCAGCCCUUCAGCAGGAUGAAAGCGGCAGGGAAAACUGCACUAAACCCAGCCUUUCAACACAAUUCUGUGGGAAAAGACAAGAAACCUUAAGGCCAGAAGCACAGCAUCUGAAGUGCUACAAGUGUCAGACCUGUUUCAGAAGGACAACAACAAUGGAGUUCAGAGAGUCUUCCAUGCUGUCUGAAGGAUCUAUGUGCACUUUCAAGGACGGAGAUGGCUAAUUUCUUAAUAUUCCCAUUUAUGCUGUUGCUUUUUUCAGAAGAAAGUUUGAAAAUAAUUAUGCACAAAAGAAUUGUCUAUGGCUUCUGAAACCUGUGGUUCAACGCUUUGAUUUUUUUUCCUUUGAACACUGCUGUUAUUUCGGGAGGCAGGGGAGAGGGGGGAAAGAAUACUGAGUAACAUUUGAGUUUUUUGAAAUUUCCUCUUUUCAUUGAACAAGAAAUUUGGUAGAUAUACACUUGGGAAAUUCUGUUUUGGCAUUUCCAAUUCCUAACUAUUGAAAAUUUAAAUUUUAUGAAAAACAAUAAAAGACUGAAGAUUGCUAUUUUAAGCUACCUUUUUUUUGCUUGGUGUUCUUUGUUAUUUAGAAUAUGGUAUU